rnacentral:lncRNA from 1 species
CCGACUAAUCUUUUUUUGUUCACAUGGACCGUUGGUGGAGGGAAACUUCGGCGAAAACUUUAUGGACCAUCUACUGACUGUAAGUGUAAAAGAUGCAAUUAAAGAAGGCCACUGAGGUGGCAUUCCAAUGAAACAGAUCUUUAUCUUCAAUGGUGUGAUCUGAAUUUGAGUCACGAUGGAUAUCGGACUACGAUUAACUAUCAAAAUGCGAAUGACUGUCGAAUGAAGCAUAUUUUAGCGGCUCAAGUCCGACAUCUGAAAACGGUAUCUGAUCCGUUGGCCCUCGAUGGUAUUGGGAUGACGUACUCACCCGUUGGACUCGCCCAUAUAGUGAAGAAGGAGCCGUCUAUUCAUCCAAAUUCAGGAGAGGUAGAUGCGCUGGAUCGCCCCCCUCCAACUCCCAUUUUUUUAGUAAAAAAAAAAGAAGGCCAUUUUUAGUCUUGGCUUGUCAAAUCUCAUGGGAUUCUUCGUGCCUAUGCUCCUAGCCUUAUGAUCCUCACGUUCACACCUAACAUGCAGUAUACCAGCCAUGAGCAUCCAAGGUUAUCGGUAAGCACUUUCUUUAGUCCCAAAUAGGAAUGACAAUGAAUCGAAUAUAGAUCAGAUUAUUUAAUAUCCAUGUUCAUCCCAUAACUAAAAAGUCCAUAUCCAUAUCUAUCUCGAGUUAGGCCGG